GGCUCGGUCGCACGGUGUGCAUCUGCGUUAAAUUCACAUCUCAUUCUGUUGUUGACAGCAGACCCCGCCUGUUCGACUCAGGCCCGAGCCA